GAUGAACGCUAGCUACAGGCUUAACACAUGCAAGUCGCGGGGCAGCAUGGGGGUUGCUUGCAAUCCCCGAUGGCGACCGGCGCACGGGUGAGUAACGCGUAUCCAACCUGCCCUUCACCACGGGAUAACCCGGCGAAAGUCGGACUAAUACCGUAUGUUGUCCAUUGACGGCAUCCGAUUUGGACGAAAGGUUUGGCGGUGAAGGAUGGGGAUGCGUCCGAUUAGCUGGACGGCGGGGUGACGGCCCACCGUGGCGACGAUCGGUAGGGGUUCUGAGAGGAAGGUCCCCCACACUGGAACUGAGACACGGUCCAGACUCCUACGGGAGGCAGCAGUGAGGAAUAUUGGUCAAUGGGCGUAAGCCUGGACCAGCCAAGUAGCGUGCAGGAUGACGGCCCUAUGGGUUGUAAACUGCUUUUAUGCGGGGAUAAAGUGGCCCACGUGUGGGUUUUUGCAGGUACCGCAUGAAUAAGGACCGGCUAAUUCCGUG
rnacentral:rRNA from 1 species